rnacentral:lncRNA from 10 species
UGGAUAGCAAGUAACAUUCAUUGAGCCUCUAUCAUGCGCCAGACCUUGAGCCAAGAAAUUUCCCUUGAUCAUCUCAGCCAGGGGAAAAGGCAAGAAGAGCAGGACUUUUGUCCUGCCCCUGCCAAACACAAGAAAGUGGCUCAGAGAGGUUACACAUCUCAUCUAACUGCAGAGAGAGAAGUCCAGGAUUCCAAUCCAGAGAUUCUCAUUUUUCUGUCCACUCUAUCAUGUUGCCUCCCACUCCACCUAAUACCAAAAUCAAGUCAUUCACGUCUCUCCACCCUCUCCUCAAGGAUACUGAGGAUGUGGCUCAGUAUAACAUCCAUUCACUCACCCAUUCAUUCAUUAUACAAACAUGUGAAGUGGUUCCUCGGUGGCAGUGGCAAUGACAGAUGUGAGUCCUACUUACAUAAUUUCCCAAAUGUCCUGCUGGAGUUUAGAUUCACUCUGGCCAUACCAUAUGCCUGUCGAGGUGGCACUUCAUGGAAGAAGGCCUUUAGAAGC